rnacentral:rRNA from 1 species
CAGCAGUAGGGAAUAUUGGGCAAUGGAGGAAACUCUGACCCAGCCAUGCCGCGUGCAGGAUGAAGGCCCUCCGGGUCGUAAACUGCUUUAUAUGGGGAAGAAACCCUCCUACGUGUAGGAGGCUGACGGUACCAUACGAAUAAGGAUCGGCUAACUCCGUGCCAGCAGCCGCGGUAAUACGGAGGAUCCAAGCGUUGUCCGGAUUCAUUGGGUUUAAAGGGUACGUAGGCGGGUUAUUAAGUCAGUGGUGAAAGCCUACAGCUUAACUGUAGAACUGCCAUUGAAACUGGUAACCUUGAGUUUGGACGAGGUGGAUGGAAUGUAUCAUGUAGCGGUGAAAUGCUUAGAUAUGAUACAGAACACCGAUUGCGAAGGCAGUCCACUAGACCAAUACUGACGCUGAGGUACGAAAGCAUGGGGAGCGAACAGGAUUAGAUACCCUGGUAG